UGCAGGGAAUUCUUAGAGGCCUGUCUUCAGUGUGUCUGCUCAGGGUUAACAGUGAGUGCCGCUCGACCCGCGCCUCUUAUGUUCAACCGCCUCCACCUCCGCCUCGCAUACCGGACUACUUUGUUUUUGACAGGGAGGGAGGGCAGUGUAGUGAUCGUAUAGAACCCGACUUAUCCAUCCCACCGUGAUAGGAGAAGCAGCAGGGCAGUGAGGCAUCUGUCAGGCAUGUCUGGCGGAGUGAGGUGUUGUGAGUGACGCCCCACCAAGGUAGUCUCCACGCGGCAAGCAAGAUAAGACUAUACCCUUCCUCUCCCUAAGUCACCAUGGCAGAGCAAGAAGCGGAAUCCCUGCCUGAUUUGGGGGAAUUGUCGGCAGAGGGCAGCGUGAGGGCGGAGCCAAUCGUCGCCGUGUCCCAAGAUCCAGGGAACCAAUCACUGGACAGGAAAGAUGGCGGCAGUCACGCUGAGGCUUCCUUCGAAUCAGAAAUAUGCAGGAAACCACGACACACGAACUAAGAAUACUCCCACCAAAGUGCGCAGUUCGUCCCAGGGUUGAGGAGCGCAGCCUCGCCCUGUGGGGGAAAUAGUACUACCUGGAUGGAGGCAAAAUGCGAGUCUAAUUUCCAUACCUGUACGACCUGCCGGCACACCUGAGUCUGGGCGGCGGCUGGACUCACCUGCCCUGCCCUGCCCUGCCCUGUUCUCCUCUGCUCUCCUGUGCCCGCCCGCCCGCCUGCCUGCCUGUCUGGCUUACCGCGAGAAAUAGACCCGGUCGUCGUGGUGGACAUUUACGUGUUGUCUCGGAAUGUUCUGUCGCGCUGGGAGAGUGUUGUGGGUGCUCAGGUGGUGCCCGAUUAAUUUUACCUUAGGAAGUUUUCGUGCGGUGUCAUUCUUACGUUAAGGUGAUAUAUCUGUUACUUGAUUGAAACAUGGUAAUCAGGACUGUUUUACGCAAAUUUAGUAUCUUCUUAGAGAAUUUUUGGCCUGUAAUUAACUUUUCUUAUGUGUUACUAAGCGAGAACUGUGUAAAACUCGGUAUUUUUUUUACGUUUUCUGGUCCAUAAUUAACAUAUCUCAGGUGUUGCUAGGACAUGGAUCACUGUAACGUUGUCAUUUUCUUGUUUGUUCAUUAGAGGAGAGACGCUUCAUAGUGCUAAUCUGUAGACACUUUUGUCGCAUGUUGUUGCACUGCCAGCCACAGAAGUCACUUACAUCACCACAGCGCUGAUGCGAUCUACCUUCGUAAACAAAAUCAUAGGCAUUUGUGUGUUUGCAUGCGGCGUGUGGGAAGCAGGAUGAGGUCACUGCCUGCACUCGUGUGUAAGGGAGCACCACGUCACUGAGGGAGUUGCAUCAUCCCACUCCCUCUCUUGCUUUCUCUAGGUAGCCGUGGUGGUGGUGAUGUUAGUGCGUCCUCCUCGACACUGCCAGAGUCAGUGUGGAGGCUGUAUACACGCACUUCCUUCCUCCUCCGUUAUGUCUUGUAUACACUUUAUGGCUUGUCUGGGUGUUACUUAUAGCUCGUCCAGGGGCGGUGUGUCUGGGUUAACACUGUCUCGUAUUUUAACCACGUGUUGGGCUGUCUCCCCCGCCCUUUAUCCACCACUUACCCGCUGCGGGAGGGCUUACGAACUCGACUCAGAAACGCCCACAACAAAAACAGCUUCCACACCCACACAACAAUACCCACGCCCACAAUAACAGCACCUAGUCCUCCCCACCCGCCCCACCUCCUCCUCCUCCUCCUCCCCCUCCCAGAAUGCAACCCAAGCCGGGUAGGUAAAUCAUGCCAAGAAGGGCGGCCCCGUUUAUCUCCUUAGAUGCAUAUUUUUUCGGGGAUCAUCCACCAUGGAAUGUUGUGUAGAGGCGAGAAUACGUGGUAGGGGAGGGAAGGAAGGCGGCGCAGCAUGGUUGUGUUGUGGAAAGCAGCUCUAGUGUUGCUAGUGAAAGAAGUAGGUUGGAAUUGUAAUGAUGAAAGUAGUAGUAAUAAUACUAGUGGUGAUAAUGAAGAAUGGUCGUAAUUGUUAUUAAUGUUUCACCUUGCUACAAAAGUGGAAAUCAUGGAUAAACUACCUAGUCGUAAUAGCAAAUGGACGCUAACGUAGCCUGACUUCAGUGUCGGUUAGUGACAUCAAACCAGAGAUACAGAAGAAGAACUCAAAUAGUCAUAAACCAAGACAGAGAGACAAGGUCAGAAACAUAAAGCAAGACAGAAGAAGGUCAGAAAGUUAAAUAACAUGGAGAGAAACAGGCGAAAAGCCAAAAAUUAAUAAUUAUGUGUACUGUGUAACAGUUAUUGUUAUAUAUUCUUAAAUGGGAGUCAGCAUAUUGUUCUAAAAAGAAAUGCUCCUAUAUACUGUUCUCGUAUUCAGUAUUAGUGUGAGAUUAAUUAAAAGUUUAAAUUGAGAGUUGAGUUGGGAGAGAAGAAAUUAAAAGGGAUGCAGGGAGUGGGGCGAGGGAGAUAGGAGGAAAAGGGAGAGGUGGCAGUGCAUUCACAUACUUAGUGCCACGAUCCACUUUAUCCAGAACAAGUGAUUGUAUUUUUACUACAACACUGUAUACUGCCAAGACCACUAAGGCGUAUAUGAGGACCUGUAGGAAUGGAAAUAUGAAGGAAAGUAAAUGUAAGGUGGCAACAUUGUAUUGUAUUACUCCGCCAGCAAGCCAGCAGAAAACGUGACUUCACAUUUGGCGCCAAGACAGAGUUGUUAGCUUGGCGACGGACCUGAGGUGAAGGACAUUGUUGUUUGAUUAGAAGAUAAUACCUGUGUGCAGUGUGUUGUGUGCAUGCAAAUUUGUAGAGCCGGUGAACUGGAGCACAAGAGAAAGCGCACAAAUGGAAAAUAUGGCAGAGUUCGUGUGUUGGUAAGGGUGUAGUAACAUCUUGGUGACAAAGGAUGAUUUACUGGAGUGGUGUUGCAGCUUGACGAAAACAGGAACAUAGAGACGAAAGGCAGAUUAUUGUUGCAGUCGAACGCAUUCCAGACAUUUAUCAAGAAGACGAGAAGUGUUGAGGAAGACCUCAUAUUCCAUAUUGCUGCGAACAACUAUGAAAGGUUAGCUUUGUUAAGAAGUGACGGUAGACUUGCAGGGAAUAUGCCAGUAACACACCUCAACACAAGUUAUCUAUCAUUUUUUUUUUCACUUAGGUACCCACAAAGUCUUCAUGUACUAGUGGCGGAGUGUUGUGUUUAAUAAUUAAUCACUCAGUAUCUUCCUGCAUUGACUUAACCCUUCCUACUUCUCGUUUGCGGCCUCUGUUAUUCUUUCCUUUACACUCUCCACCACACUCACCCCUUGCUCUACCGCCUCUCUCUUGUCCCAUCCACCGUACUUACAUGUCCUAAUCCCCCUCCAAGACGCCAAUCUUAUUUCAAAUUCUUUCGAACUCCCACCAUAGCGAAUAUGAAUACAUUACAUAUCAGUAUAACAUUUUCUACUCUGAAUAAGAUGUUCCUUCACUCGUGAGAAUGUGACACCAAUUUAUGAUGCACCCUGUACAAGAGAGGUCAUUCAUUGUCCCUGUGGCUGCCAAUAACGAUGAUAGUUGAGAGGGUGAGCAACCGAGUCUGAAGGGGAUGAAAGAGACGGAUGGGGUACUGGAAACUGUGACGAUGGGUAGGAGGUGCGGUAGGAGAUGUGAUGGUGGAGGGAGGUGCGUGAGGUUAAGGAAAAUAGGGCUAUAUAGGUGAAGGUGGGUGUGGUGAUAGUCAUGAUGAGAGAAUUGCAUACUGAUAGUCGAGUAGAUGGAGAUGGGAGUGGUGGGAGAAGGUGUGGUGGCAUUGAGUGGACUUGAGCAUCGACAGUGGGCGAGGUUGAAGAGGGUGUGGUGGUCUGGGUGAGAUGCAGGGAUGGAGAAUGAUAACAUACUGAGGUACCGAGGAAGGCAUUGGGGAAGAGACUGAAGGGGGGGGUUAAGUAUUGUAUUGCGCAAGUAUUGUAUGAAGAGGUGAAGGGGGGUAUGGUAUUGGGAAAAGAGAUGGGCACCGUGCUAAAGGUUUGAGGUGUUAUGGAAGAGUAUGUGGUAGGAAGAAUGAAGGAGGGAUUGUUGUAGGAGGUGGGGCGUGUAGCGUGGUGAUGUCAGUGGGUGGAGUGAGGCGUGGUGGUGGCAGUGGAUGGAGUGAGGCGUGGUGGUGGCAGUGGAUGAGGUGUGGGGCGUGGUGGUGGCAGUGGGUGGAGUGAGGCGUGGUGGUGGCAGUGGGUGGAGUGAGGCGUGGUGGUGGCAGUGGGUGAGGUGUGGGGCGU